rnacentral:rRNA from 1 species
UGGGGAAUAUUGGACAAUGGGGGAAACCCUGAUCCAGCCAUGCCGCGUGAGUGAUGAAGGCCCUAGGGUUGUAAAGCUCUUUUGUGCGGGAAGAUAAUGACGGUACCGCAAGAAUAAGCCCCGGCUAACUUCGUGCCAGCAGCCGCGGUAAUACGAAGGGGGCUAGCGUUGCUCGGAAUCACUGGGCGUAAAGGGUGCGUAGGCGGAUCUUUAAGUCAGAGGUGAAAGCCUGGAGCUCAACUCCAGAACUGCCUUUGAUACUGGGGAUCUUGAGUUCGGAAGAGGUGAGUGGAACUGCGAGUGUAAAGGUGAAAUUCGUAGAUUGGCGCAAGAACACCAGUGGCUAAGGCGGCUCACUGGCCCGAUACUGACUCUGAGGCACGAAAGCGUGGG